UUGACAGUGAGAGGUGAUGUGGUGGUGAAGGCAAAGAGGCUGGGGAAAGCAAGAAACUUAGUGUGUUUAUUUUUCCUGUCUUAUCUCAUCUUACUUGUGAUUUAAUUUAAGAAGGAUCUGGUUAAUUACCUGCAAGAAUCUGAGGGCAGAAGCAAAGGAGAACAAGUCUGCCACUUGUCUGAAGAUUCCCCCAAAGUGGUUGCCAAGAAGAGGGGUUUGGUGGUAGGCAAAGGGGGCAGCAGUGAAAUCUCCCCCUAAAAUCUUUGUGGCUCCAUUCUUGUGAAGCCUAAGAAGAAUUGUGCUGGAUUGGUGAGGCACAGGGUCCUGAUUCUCUUGCCAUGGUUGAAGGAUUGCUGCAAGCUGGAGUCACCUGCCUCAGUUCUUGCAUGGUGAGGUGAAUUGCCAUCUCACAGAUUAGAGGCAAGGUGUUUGUGGAAUUGCCUCCUGGGGGAAGCAGCUGUGGAAAGGCAAAGGCUAGAGUGAGGAGGAGGAGGAGCUAGGAAGGAUGAUGAUGCCAUGGUGGGUUGCAGCUCACAUCGUGGACAUGGUGUGGGCGGUGCUCGCCGGCUGGGUGUCGGCGUGCCUGGUGAUCGCCGGUGAGAUUGCCCGCGGCAUGCGCAACGGGGAGAUCAGCCCCUUUGUUGUUGGCUGAAUCAUCUUGAGCCAUUCCUCAUUCAUUCAUGCAGAUAAAUUUUGUCGAAUCCAGUUCUUCAAACGUUGCAUUAUACUGUACAGAGCCUAUAAAUCUCGAUUAGUGGCCCUGAUUGCCUUCAGCCAGCCAUCAACAGAUGAGAUAGGCAGAUAGAAUCUAGAGAUUUAACUUUUUUCUUUCUUUCUGUUAUGUAGUAAUCAUGUCAACAUUUAUGCAAACCACGUACGAAAAAACAUGCCAUCACUGUGUUCUUUUUGACCCUCUCAGCAAGGGUACUGAAUUGUUUGAUCAAUAUCCAAAUGAGGUUCUACAGAUUGUUGUA